UUCCUUAACCCAUCACCUCUGUUUCUCCGUUAUCUCCAUAAUCAUCUUUCUCCCAACCAAGAGAAAAGACACGAACUCAUUUCUUCUCCACCAGCAGGAAAUUAUAAACUCCAUUUUUCUCCACCAUCGACACCUUCAAUUUCUCCCAAAUAUAAUUAUAUUUCUCCGCCAUCAACACAAUUAAGAUCUGUAUUUCCCUUCCACCACCACCACAAACAUCAACACCAACGUAUUACAAUCAGAUUCCACCACCAUAAAAGAUUUCUCCUGCCUUAAUUUCGUUAUAACUUCUCAAUUCCAUUGUUCCAUAAUGAAAAAGAAGUUGAAUUAGGUUUUGAAUCAUCAACAUCACUUUUGAGAAUCACAGAACAUGUGGACUGGUGAUGUCGUAAAAUGGACCCGAUGUUCAACUGAAAUGAUGGUAAUUUGGAACACAAGCUCGCGUAGGUGGUGACGACAAGGUUUCAGAUAGUUGUACUUCCUAAAAUUUCUUUCCCCUUUGUCCCAUGUUCUUUGUAUAUAUAAAUACAUAAAUUUACCCAUCAAAAGUGUAACAACCCUACUUCCCACAUAAUCCCGGUCGAUGAUUAUGCAAAAAACAUGUUGUUAAUUUCCUGUGUAACUUAUGUAACCGCAAGAAAUUAUGGGAUCACAUCCCCUUAUACAGUUGAAAUGCUAAUGCAUAAGGGAAAAAUAUUACAAUGGUUCC